AGUGAACGCUGGCGGUAGGCCUAACACAUGCAAGUCGAACGGCAGCACAGUAAGAGCUUGCUCUUACGGGUGGCGAGUGGCGGACGGGUGAGGAAUACAUCGGCAUCUACUUUUUCGUGGGGGAUAACGUAGGGAAACUUACGCUAAUACCGCAUAUGACCUACGGGUGAAAGCAGGGGAUCUUCGGACCUUGCGCGAUUGAAUGAGCUGAUGUCGGAUUAGCUAGUUGGCAGGGUAAAGGCCCACCAAGGCGACGAUCCGUAGCUGGUCUGAGAGGAUGAUCAGCCACACUGGAACUGAGACACGGUCCAGACUCCUACGGGAGGCAGCAGUGGGGAAUAUUGGACAAUGGGCGCAAGCCUGAUCCAGCCAUGCCGCGUGGGUGAAGAAGGCCUUCGGGUUGUAAAGCCCUUUUGUUGGGAAAGAAAAGCAGCAGGUUAAUACCCCGCUGUUCUGACGGUACCUAAUGAAUAAGCAGCGGCUAACUUCGUG
rnacentral:rRNA from 1 species